CCUACGGGGGGCAGCAGUGGGGAAUAUUGCACAAUGGGGGAAACCCUGAUGCAGCGACGCCGCGUGAAGGAAGAAGUAUUUCGGUAUGUAAACUUCUAUCAGCAGGGAAGAAAAUGACGGUACCUGACUAAGAAGCCCCGGCUAACUACGUGCCAGCAGCCGCGGUAAUACGUAGGGGGCAAGCGUUAUCCGGAUUGACUGGGUGGAAAGGGAGCGUAGGCGGCGAUGCAAGUCAGAAGUGAAAGCCCGGGGCGCAACUCCGGGACCGCUUUUGAGACUGUGUUGCUAGAUUGCAGUAGAGGUAAGUGGAAUUCCUAGUGUAGCGGUGAAAUGCGUAGAUAUUAGGAGGAACACCAGUGGCGAAGGCGGCUUACUGGACUGUAAAUGACGCUGAGGCUCGAAAGCGUGGGGAGCAAACAGGAUUAGAUACCCCAGUAGUC
rnacentral:rRNA from 1 species